UAGGGAAUCUUCGGCAAUGGACGAAAGUCUGACCGAGCAACGCCGCGUGUGUGAAGAAGGUUUUCGGAUCUUAAAACUCUGUUGUUAGAGAAGAACAAGGACGUUAGUAACUGAACGUCCCCUGACGGUAUCUAACCAGAAAGCCACGGCUAACUACGUGCCAGCAGCCGCGGUAAUACGUAGGUGGCAAGCGUUGUCCGGAUUUAUUGGGCGUAAAGCGAGCGCAGGCGGUUUCUUAAGUCUGAUGUGAAAGCCCCCGGCUCAACCGGGGAGGGUCAUUGGAAACUGGGAGACUUGAGUGCAGAAGAGGAGAGUGGAAUUCCAUGUGUAGCGGUGAAAUGCGUAGAUAUAUGGAGGAACACCAGUGGCGAAGGCGGCUCUCUGGUCUGUAACUGACGCUGAGGCUCGAAAGCGUGGGGAGCAAACAGG
rnacentral:rRNA from 1 species